GGAUAACCUGCCCUUGGGUCCGGCAUAACCCCGGGAAACUGGGGAUAAUACCGGAUAACGCACAUAUGCUGGAAUGCUUUAUGCGUAAAAUGGAUUCGUCUGCCCAAGGAUGGGUCUGCGGCCUAUCAGGUAGUAGUGGGUGUAAUGUACCUACUAGCCAACAACGGGUACGGGUUGUGAGAGCAAGAGCCCGGAGAUGGAUUCUGAGACAUGAAUCCAGGCCCUACGGGGCGCAGCAGGCGCGAAAACUUUACAAUGCGGGAAACCGUGAUAAGGGGACACCGAGUGCCAGCAUCAUAUGCUGGCUGUCCAGGUGUGUAAAAUACACCUGUCAGCAAGGGCCGGGCAAGACCGGUGCCAGCCGCCGCGGUAACACCGGCGGCCCGAGUGGUGAUCGUGAUUAUUGGGUCUAAAGGGUCCGUAGCCGGUUUGGUCAGUCCUCCGGGAAAUCUGACGGCUUAACCGUUAGGCUUUCGGGGGAUACUGCCAGGCUUGGAACCGGGAGAGGUAAGAGGUACUACAGGGGUAGGAGUGAAAUCUUGUAAUCCCUGUGGGACCACCUGUGGCGAAGGCGUCUUACCAGAACGGGUUCGACGGUGAGGGACGAAAGCUGGGGGCACGAACCGGAUUAGAUACCCGGGUAGUCCCANCCGUAAACGAUGCUCGCUAGGUGUCAGGCAUGGCGCGACCGUGUCUGGUGCCGCAGGGAAACCGUGAANCGAGCCACCUGGGGAAGUACCGGCCGCAAGGCUGAAACUUAA
rnacentral:rRNA from 1 species